ACUUGUACUGUGAAACUGCGAAUGGCUCAUUAAAUCAGUUAUGGUUUCUUUGAUGGUACCUUGCUACUUGGAUACCCGUAGUAAUUCUAGAGCUAAUACAUGCAGGAGUGCCCGACUUCGGAAGGGCUGUAUUUAUUAGAUAAGGAACCUUCUCGGGUUCGCCCGGUUGUGUGCUGAGUCAUAAUAACUGCUCGAAUCGCACGGCUCUACGCCGGCGAUGGUUCAUUCAAAUUUCUGCCCUAUCAGCUUUCGAUGGUAGGAUAGAGGCCUACCAUGGCGUUAACGGGUAACGGAGAAUUAGGGUUCGAUUCCGGAGAGGGAGCCUGAGAAAUGGCUACCACAUCCAAGGAAGGCAGCAGGCGCGUAAAUUGCCCGAAUCCUGACACAGGGAGGUAGUGACAAGAAAUAACAAUACAGGGCUACUUCUAGUCUUGUAAUUGGAAUGAGUACAACUUACAUCUCUUCACGAGGAUCAACUGGAGGGCAAGUCUGGUGCCAGCAGCCGCGGUAAUUCCAGCUCCAGAAGCGUAUAUUAAAGUUGUUGCAGUUAAAACGCUCGUAGUCGGGUUUCGGGUCGGGCCGAGCGGUCUGCCCAUGGGUAUGCACUGUUUGGCGCGGCCUUCUUUCCGGAGACCGCGGCUACUCUUAACUGAGCGGGCGUGGGAGACGGAUCGUUUACUUUGAAAAAAUCAGAGUGUUUCAAGCAGGCAGC
rnacentral:rRNA from 1 species